CCAGACUCCUACGGAGGCAGCAGUGGGGAAUCUUCCGCAAUGGACGAAAGUCUGACGGAGCAACGCCGCGUGAGUGAUGACGGCCUUCGGGUUGUAAAGCUCUGUUAAUCGGGACGAAAGGCCUUCUUGCGAAUAGUGAGAAGGAUUGACGGUACCGGAAUAGAAAGCCACGGCUAACUACGUGCCAGCAGCCGCGGUAAUACGUAGGUGGCAAGCGUUGUCCGGAAUUAUUGGGCGUAAAGCGCGCGCAGGCGGAUAGGUCAGUCUGUCUUAAAAGUUCGGGGCUUAACCCCGUGAUGGGAUGGAAACUGCCAAUCUAGAGUAUCGGAGAGGAAAGUGGAAUUCCUAGUGUAGCGGUGAAAUGCGUAGAUAUUAGGAAGAACACCAGUGGCGAAGGCGACUUUCUGGACGAAAACUGACGCUGAGGCGCGAAAGCCAGGGGAGCGAACGGGAUUAGAUACCCCGGUAGUCCUGGCCGUAAACGAUGGGUACUAGGUGUAGGAGGUAUCGACCCCUUCUGUGCCGGAGUUAACGCAAUAAGUACCCCGCCUGGGGAGUACGACCGCAAGGUUGAAACUCAAAGGAAUUGACGGGGGGCCCGCACAAG
rnacentral:rRNA from 1 species